rnacentral:rRNA from 1 species
AUUGAACGCUGGCGGCAGGCCUAACACAUGCAAGUCGAGCGAGCGGCGGACGGGUGAGUAAUGUAUGGGGACUGCCCGAUAGAGGGGGAUAACUACUGGAAACGGUAGCUAAUACCGCAUACUAUCGGAUAACCCAUAUGGGAUUAGCUAGUAGGUGAGGUAAUGGCUCACCUAGGCGACGAUCCCUAGCUGGUCUGCGAGGAUGAUAAGACACACGGGGACUGAGACACUGCCACUGCUCCUACGGAGGCAGCAGUGGGGAAUAUUGCACAAUGGGCGCAAGCCUGAUGCAGCCAUGCCGCGUGUAUGAAGAAGGCCCUAGGGUUGUAAAGUACUUUCAGUCGGGAGGCAUUACCGACAUAAGAAGCACCGGCUAACUCCGUGCCAGCCGCCGCGGUAAUAC